GACGAACGCUGGCGGCGUGCUUAACACAUGCAAGUCGAACGAAGUGGCGAACGGGUGAGUAAUAUGUGAGUGACAUGCCCUACUUUUUGGGAUAAGCCGUGGGAACGGGGUCUAAUACCCAAUUAAGGGGGUUGGGCGCGUGGGCUAUCAGCUUGUUGGUGGGGUGAUGGCCUACCAAGGCGGUGUCGGGUAGCCGGCCUGAGAGGGUGACAGGGCACAUGGGGACUGAGAUACGGCCCAGAGGCCUACGGGAGGCGGCAGUGGGGGAUAUUGGACGAGGGUCGGAAGCCUGAAUCAGCGACGCCGCGAGGGGGAUUAAGGCUUUCGGGUUGUAAUCCGCUUGCGGUAACGAACGGGUAGGUGGAGAAGAAGCGCCGGCUAACUACGUGCCAGCAGCCGCGGUAAUUC
rnacentral:rRNA from 1 species